rnacentral:rRNA from 1 species
CUAAUUCCGUGCCAGCAGCCGCGGUAAUACGGAAGGUCCAGGCGUUAUCCGGGAUUUAUUGGGUUUAAAGGGAGCGCAGGCUGAUGAUUAAGCGUGACGUGAAAUGUAGCCGCUCAACGGCUGAACUGCGUCGCGAACUGGUUAUCUUGAGUGAGUUCGAUGUUGGCGGAAUUCGUGGUGUAGCGGUGAAAUGCUUAGAUAUCACGAAGAACUCCGAUUGCGAAGGCAGCCAACAAGGCCUUUACUGACGCUAAAGCUCGAAGGUGCGGGUAUCGAACAGGAUUAGAUACCCUGGUAGUCCGCACGGUAAACGAUGGAUGCCCGCUGUUUGCGAUAUACUGUGAGCGGCCAAGAGAAAUCGUUAAGCAUCCCACCUGGGGAGUACGCCGGCAACGGUGAAACUCAAAGGAAUUGACGGGGGCCCGCACAAGCGGAGGAACAUGUGGUUUAAUUCGAUGAUACGCGAGGAACCUUACCCGGGCUUGAACUGCCAGCGAACGAUUCAGAGAUGAUGAGGUCCUUCGGGACGCUGGUGGAGGUGCUGCAUGGUUGUCGUCAGCUCGUGCCGUGAGGUGUCGGCUUAAGUGCCAUAACGAGCGCAACCCUUUUCUUUAGUUGCCAUCAGGUAAUGCUGGGCACUCUGGAGAUACUGCCACCGUAAGGUGUGAGGAAGGUGGGGAUGACGUCAAAUCAGCACGGCCCUUACGUCCGGGGCUACACACGUGUUACAAUGGGGGGUACAGAGAGUCGGAUAUACGCAAGUAUGUUCUAAUCCUUAAAGCCUUCCUCAGUUCGGAUUGGGGUCUGCAACCCGACCCCAUGAAGCUGGAUUCGCUAGUAAUCGCGCAUCAGCCAUGGCGCGGUGAAUACGUUCCCGGGCCUUGUACACACCGCCCGUCAAGCCAUGAAAGCCGGGGGCGCUUGAAGUCCGUGACCGCAAGGAUCGGCCUAGAGCGAAACUGGUAAUUGGGGCUAAGUCGUAACAAGGUAAAUCACUGCCGUCGAACCCCCC